GCAGCGAAACAGAAUUCUGUUCAGGCCACAACUUGAGAAAAUAAGCAACCCGAAAAACGAUUUCAUACAAAGUUACUUAACAGCAUUAGUACUACAUUAAUUAACCUAACAAUACACACGACAUAAUCACAAAAUGAUAAAUCAGUGAUGUAACAUUUUAACGAUGGACCCAAAUUUCACUCUCCACUUCGUUUGUUACUCCCAUUCAGUUGACUGAAGCUUAGUUACUUAAAAGCCUCUUUGGUAUAUUCUGCGCAAUAAUUAUUAAAUUUAGAUGCAACCCUGUAAUACGGAACUGAACUAAUGGAUCUAGUUUCAAAACU